rnacentral:rRNA from 1 species
GAGGCAAGCGUUAUCCGGAAUUAUUGGGCGUAAAGGGUACGUAGGCGGCUGGUCAAGUCUGGGGUCAAAGGCCACAGCUCANCNGNGGGAAGGCCCUGGAAACUGACCGGCUAGAGUGAGGUAGGGGUUGCGGGAAUUCCCGGUGUAGCGGUGAAAUGCGUAGAGAUCGGGAAGAACACCUGAGGCGGAAGCGCGCAACUGGGCCUCAACUGACGCUGAGGUACGAAAGCUAGGGGAGCGAAUGGGAUUAGAUACCCCAGUAGUCCUAGCCGUAAACGAUGGACACUAGACGUUGGCCGUAUCGACCCGGUCAGUGUCGGAGCUAACGCGUUAAGUGUCCCGCCUGGGGAGUACGCACGCAAGUGUGAAACUCAAAGGAAUUGACGGGG